AUUUCAGAAGAGUGUGAGGCAUGUGAGAAAAUGAGAGCCGUAUGAGCAGAGGGUGUUUCCUAUCCUCGAGGCUUCUGAGCAGGUUGUAUAAGAGCUCUCCCUCCUCUGCUCUGCUCUAGCCAUAUCAGCUGGAGCCCUCAAAGAAUCAGGUUUACCUCCCUCCACAAAGCAAUGACUUUUUCGGGAAGUCUUUGUGGCUACAACACCUCCUGCUGUGUAAGCCUCCCCCCAACGACACUGAUGUUGCAGCCACCACCUUUUGCAGCAGAAACAAAGCUGGUAGACCUACAGAUUGUCACCCCAAAGCCGCCGCCUUGUGAAAUCCCAGAAUGUGACUUCCAUCCAUGCAGCCUGCCUCCAUUGUGCUGCCGCAUGCCUCCUGAGCCACCCAUGGUCUUUGCCACCUUCUCCACCUGUCUGCAUGAGUUGUAAGGAGGGCACACCUGUGGCCAUCAUGCCGUAGGCCUGUCUCAGGCAGGAGACUACAGACAGGAAGAAGGGCAGCGCGAGGAGCUAAAUGUUGGUGGGGGGAUUGGAAAUGGGGACCGGAGUAGUUCUCUGGAAAGGAUGUACACUUGACGUUGCAUGAGUAAUUUGGUGCCUGUCCUUAAGGAUCAGGGUCAGUCACCAUCAUGCCUUUUGUAUACUAAUGCAUUUUGGGGAAAAAUUAAUAAUAACCACAGAUGCUGUGAAUUGCA